AAACACAUACAUACAUACAUACCAGUUCUCGUCUGAUCACUGAAGUCAAGUAACGUUGAGCACGGUUAGUACUUGGAUGGGUGACCGCUUGGGAAUACCGUGUGAUGUUGUCC
rnacentral:rRNA from 1 species